rnacentral:rRNA from 1 species
GAUGAACGCUGGCGGCGUGCCUAAUACAUGCAAGUCGAGCGAACGGACGAGAAGCUUGCUCCUCUGAUGUUAGCGGCGGACGGGUGAGUAACACGUGGAUAACCUACCUAUAAGACUGGGAUAACUUCGGGAAACCGUAGCUAAUACCGGAUAAUAUUUUGAACCGCAUGGUUCAAAAGUGAAAGACGGUCUUGCUGUCACUUAUAGAUGGAUCCGCGCUGCAUUAGCUAGUUGGUAAGGUAACGGCUUACCAAGGCAACGAUGCAUAGCCGACCUGAGAGAGUGAUCGGCCACACUGGAACUGAGACACGGUCCAGACUCCUACGGGAGGCAGCAGUAGGGAAUCUUCCGCAAUGGGCGAAAGCCUGACGGAGCAACGCCGCGUGAGUGAUGAAGGUCUUCGGAUCGUAAAACUCUGUUAUUAGGGAAGAACAUAUGUGUAAGUAGCUGUGCACAUCUUGACGGUACCUAAUCAGAAAGCCACGGCUAACUACGUG